UAGGGAAUAUUGGUUAAUGUGCGAAAGCGCGAACCAGCAACGCCGCGUGUUCGAUGAAGGCCUUCGGGUCGUAAAGCACUUUUUGCAGGGAAGAGGAAGGACGGUACCUGCAGAAUAAGUCUCGGCUAACUACGUGCCAGCAGCCGCGGUAAAACGUAGGAGACGAGCGUUAUCCGGAUUUACUGGGCGUAAAGCGCGUGCAGGCGGCAUGGCAAGUUGGAUGUGAAAGCUCCAGGCUUAACUGGGAGAGGUCGUUCAAUACUGCCAGGCUGGAGAGUGGUAGAGGGAAGAGGAAUUCCGGGUGUAGUGGUGAAAUGCGUAGAUAUCCGGAGGAACACCAGUGGCGAAAGCGGCUUCCUGGCCCAUUUCUGACGCUCGGACGCGAGAGCUAGGGUAGCA
rnacentral:rRNA from 1 species